UGCAGUCGACGAUGACGGCCGUGCUUGCACGGUCUGAUUAGUGGCGAACGGGUGAGUAACACGUGAGUAACCUGCCCUCCACUUCGGGAUAACCUCGGGAAAUCGUGGCUAAUACCGGAUAUGAGCACUCAUCGCAUGGUGGGUGUUGGAAAGAUUUAUCGGUGGGGGAUGGACUCGCGGCCUAUCAGUUUGUUGGUGAGGUGAUGGCUCACCAAGACGAUGACGGGUAGCCGGCCUGAGAGGGCGACCGGCCACACUGGGACUGAGACACGGCCCAGACUCCUACGGGAGGCAGCAGUGGGGAAUAUUGCACAAUGGGCGAAAGCCUGAUGCAGCGACGCCGCGUGAGGGAUGACGGCCUUCGGGUUGUAAACCUCUUUCAGUAGGGAAGAAGCGAGAGUGACGGUACCUGCAGAAGAAGCGCCGGCUAACUACGUGCCAGCAGCCGCGGUAAUACGUAGGGCGCAAGCGUUGUCCGGAAUUAUUGGGCGUAAAGAGCUUGUAGGUGGCUUGUCGCGUCUGCCGUGAAAACCCGAGGCUCAACCUCGGGCGUGCGGUGGGUACGGGCAGGCUAGAGUGUGGUAGGGGAGACCGGAACUCCUGGUGUAGCGGUGAAAUGCGCAGAUAUCAGGAAGAACACCGAUGGCGAAGGCAGGUCUCUGGGCCAUUACUGACACUGA
rnacentral:rRNA from 1 species